UACGUAGGGGGCUAGCGUUGUCCGGAAUCAUUGGGCGUAAAGAGCGUGUAGGCGGCCCGGUAAGUCCGCUGUGAAAGUCGGGGGCUCAACCCUCGAAUGCCGGUGGAUACUGUCGGGCUCGAGUCCGGAAGAGGCGAGUGGAAUUCCUGGUGUAGCGGUGAAAUGCGCAGAUAUCAGGAGGAACACCAAUGGCGAAGGCAGCUCGCUGGGACGUGACUGACGCUGAGACGCGAAAGCGUGGGGAGCAAACAGG
rnacentral:rRNA from 1 species